rnacentral:rRNA from 1 species
UACGGGGGGAGCAAGCGUUGUUCGGAUUUACUGGGCGUAAAGGGCGCGAAGGCGGUCGUGACAAGUCACUUGUGAAAUCUCCGGGCUUAACUCGGAACGGUCAAGUGAUACUGUCGGACUAGAGUACAGAAGGGGCAACUGGAAUUCUCGGUGUAGCGGUGAAAUGCGUAGAUAUCGAGAGGAACACCUGCGGCGAAGGCGGGUUGCUGGGCUGAUACUGACGCUGAGGCGCGAAAGCCAGGGGAGCGAACGGG